GAUGAACGCUGGCGGUGUGCCUAAUACAUGCAAGUCGAGCGAACAGACGAGGAGCUUGCUCCUCUGACGUUAGCGGCGGACGGGUGAGUAACACGUGGAUAACCUACCUAUAAGACUGGGAUAACUUCGGGAAACCGGAGCUAAUACCGGAUCAUAUAUUGAACCGCAUGGUUCAAUAGUGAAAGACGGUUUUGCUGUCACUUAUAGAUGGAUCCGUGUCGCAUUAGCUAGUUGGUAAGGUAACGGCUUACCAAGGCAACGAUGCGUAGCCGACCUGAGAGGAUGAUCAGCCACACUGGAACUGAGACACGGUCCAGACUCCUACGGGAGGCAGCAGUGGGGAAUCUUCCGCAAUGGGCGAAAGCCUGACGCAGCAAUGCCGCGUGAGUGAUGAAGGUCUUCGGAUCGUAAAACUCUGUUAUUAGGAAAGAACAACUGUGUAAGUAACUCUGCACGUCUUGACGGUACCUAAUCAGAAAGCCACGGCUAACUACGUG
rnacentral:rRNA from 1 species